AACGAACGCUGGCGGCAGGCUUAACACAUGCAAGUCGAACGCCCCGCAAGGGGAGUGGCAGACGGGUGAGUAACGCGUGGGAACAUACCCUUUCCUGCGGAAUAGCCCCGGGAAACUAGACUUAAUACCGCAUACGCCCUACGGGGGAAAGAUUUAUCGGGGAAGGAUUGGCCCGCGUUGGAUUGGCUAGUUGGUGGGGUAAAGGCCUACCAAGGCGACGAUCCAUAGCUGGUCUGAGAGGAUGAUCGGCCACAUUGGGACUGAGACACGGCCCAAACUCCUACGGGAGGCAGCAGUGGGGAAUAUUGGACAAUGGGCGCAAGCCUGAUCCAGCCAUGCCGCGUGAGUGAUGAAGGCCUUAGGGUUGUAAAGCUCUUUCACCGAUGAAGAUAAUGACGGUAGUCGGAGAAGAAGCCCCGGCUAACUUCGUGCCAGCCGCCGCGGUAAAAC
rnacentral:rRNA from 1 species